AGAUCAAAACUGUUCUGAAGUAGCAUUUACAUAUUUUUUGAGUUUUUUCUUUAUUAAGAGAAAAUAUCAGUAAUUCUCAUGCUAGCAUUUACUCAAGUUAAAACUUUUUUUUAAUAGAAUUUGAAAGUUCUCUUGUGCCUCUGCAACCUCCACUUCCCGGGUUCAAGUGAUUCUCCUACCUCAGCCUCCCAAGUAGCUGGGACUACAGGUGCACACCACCACUCCUGGCUAAUUUUUGUAUUUUUAAUGGAGACGGGAUUUUACCAUGUUGGCUAGGCUGGCCUUGAACUCCUGACCUCAAGCGAUUGCCUGCCUUGGUCUCUCAAAGUGCUGGGAUUAUAGGCAUGAGCCACCAUGCCUGGCCUCUUAUGCCAAAUUUUUAUGGAAUAUGUUAAAGGGCAAUAAACAUCUGUGAAGGAAUACAGAGAAUGGAUAGAUGUAUAUCUUGAAAAUACAAUCCCUGUCCCCACGGUUAUAAAGAAAAUGCAUGUCCAUUAUAGAAAAUUGGGAACAAUGUAGAAAACAAGAAGAAAAAGAAGUCCCUCGCAGUCUCCUAUUCUGAGCCACUGUUAACAUGCCAAGUGUGUUCUCUCAGUCUUUUUCUGGGUAAGAUAGGGGUAUUUUGUCUGGUAACUUUUACUCAGGUUCUAGGAUUUGUUUAUAGUGUCAGGUUUACUGUCUUUUGGGUUCAAUGUCUGACCCUAUUGAAGUUAUUACAGACCUUAGAGACUAUUUUUAGCCGUUUUCCCCCAUUGGUGUUUCUAAGUGCUGACCAUUCUCUCUGCAUCAAAGCUAGACAUGGGCGCUUUCUUCGGUUGUAUAGAUUGUGUUUUUCUGUUGUGUGUGGCAUUUCUUCUGCCUUGUGCCUUAAGUGGUUGUGUUCCUUGACACACUACUAUGUUGCCCAGGCUGGUCUUGAACUCCUGGGCUCAAACGAUCCUCCUGCCUCUGCCCAGCAAAGUGUUGGGAUUACAGGCCUGGGCUCAAACGAUCCUCCUGCCUUGGCCCCCUGAAGUGUUGGGAUUACCAUUCCCAGCCUCUUUUUCCUGGUUCUAACUCUUUUCUGACAGUGUGAAGUCAGCUUCCAUUAUCCUCAGUGUGUCUAGUGGGUUGCUCAGUUAACUGACUUAUUCAUUCAUUGUAUUCAUUCUCCCAGCCACAUCCUCCAUCUCGUCCUGCUGCCAUCCCCUCCCUCCCACCACCGCCUGCCUGUGCUAUGCUGUAGCUCCCCAGUCUGUGCUCCUGUUCCCUGGGCCCAGGGCUCAAUUUUUGGACAGCUUCUCUCUUCUUUCUGCCUUUAGAGAUCUCACAUAAUUUUAUGAUUUUAAAUACCAUGCCCCAAAUGUAUAUAUCCCUAGCUUGGACCUGUCCCCAGAAUACUAGACUUUUAUGUCUGUCUACUCCAUAUCUCCUUUUAAGUAUCUGGAAGACCGUUUCUGCUUUUGCCUAAAACUGAACAUCUGAUCUUUCUUCCCAGACCUGCCCUUCCAGACCCAUUGAUCUCACUGCGCAGGCUGAAAGCCCUGGGCUUCUCCCCACUCUUCUCUGUUUCUUGCGUCUCACUUAAAUCCCUCAGCAGAUCUGGUGGCCAUGUCUGCUAAAUAGAGAGUCCCGCCGCCUCUCCUCGCUCUUCCUCCCUCCUGGUCCAGGUCUCGUCCCACACCUGCGUCGCCUGGCUGGGCCCCUGCUUCUGCCUCUGCCUUAGCCUGGUCUCUUCUCCUGGCAUCCAGAAUGAUCCACAGGAAACCACAGUCAGAUCAUUUCAUUCCUGUACUCAAGACCCUCCAGGGGCUUCCUGUUUUCCUCAGCAACAGCCCUGUGGAGCCGCACAAUGGGCCUGUGGCCCUCGUCAUUCCUCUGAGCUGUGUUACUACAUCCCUCCCCGGCGGUGCUGGCCUCCUCGAGUCUCCUGACUGUGCUUCUGUGUGUACUCCUCUGCUUGGAAGUCUCUUCUCCCAGUGGCCAUGGGGCUCGCGUCCUCACCUCCUGCAUUUUUUUUUUUUCCAUUUACCCUGACUUGAAGCUCACCUGCACGUCUUUAUGCUCAGAUGUCACCCUCUCAGGGAGAUCUUCCUUGCCCAUCCUAUGUGAGAUCACAGUGCCCAAGCCCACCCUCCCCCCUUCCCGUCUCCUCAUCCUGCGUCUGUUCUUUAUAGCACUUACCUCUACCUGGCGUACUUUCUUUGUUUCUUUUGCUGUCAAGUUGAAUAUAAGUUUAAGUUCCCUUCCCCUCCCAGGUCAGGGAUUUUUGUCAGUUUUCUUCACUGCUGUAUCCCUAGCACCUAUAAUAGUGCCUAUUCAGUUUUUAUAGAAUUCUGUUUUGUUGGAUACUUGUAAAUACAGGGUGAUUCUUAUUAUUUACAGUAGUUAUGCUUCAUAAAGUCACUGAGGGCUGAGCACGGUGGCUCAUGCCUGUAAUCUCAGCACUUUCGGAGGCCGAGGCAGGUGGAUCACCUGAGGUCAGGAGAUCGAGACCAGCCUGACCAACAAGGAGAAACCCCCGUCUCUACUAAAAAUACAAAAUUAGCUGAGUGUGGUGGUGCAUGCCUGUAAUCCCAACUACUCGGGAGGCGGAGGCAUGAGAAUUGCUUGAACCCAGGAGGUGGAGGUUGCGGUGGGCCGAGAUUGUGCCAUUGUAUUCCGGCCUGGGCAACAAGAGAGAGACUCUGUCUCAAAAAAAAAAAAAAAAAAAAAAAGUCACUGAAAUCUCUGAAUUACCAACUAUGGAAAAACUCACUGCUCCUAGGGGAAGUACGGGAGUUGAGUCAUUUACAUUGAGCUCCCAGCCAGCAGCUCUGUGACUCGAGCCCGAACGAAGUGUCCCUAACACACGCCACAUCUCCGUCAGGGACAUCACAGCCGUCUUGUGCUCAGGACACCAGACUGCACCUCAGCCCUACACUCGGGGCCGUUUAUACCGUGAAAUCACCAAAAAAAGCACAGAAGUGUGAAAAACAUGAUACCAAACAGACUCUGAAAAGGACACUUGGUGAUAGUCUGAGAGCAGAGAUGGGAAGGGAGGGCGUCACCUUGGUGGACUUUACCUGGGAACGCGGGCGUCGGAUGCCUAAAAGUCUUGGCUGCUCUGCACAUGACUGGAAGCGCUCCGUGGAUUGGUUUGGGGCUGUUACUACAAGUAGGUGAAUUCGUAAUUACAGAAUCCUCCAAUAAGGAGGAUUGACUGUAUUGAAUGAGUGAAUGAAUGAACGCUUUGACAGUGUUUGAGCUGCCGAAGUUCUAGAAGUUUAUACACGCAGAAAUAACACUUAUCCUUAUUCAUUCUUUGUAGGGGGAAGUCAUAAAAUGGUAUGUCUUUUUAAUAUCCUUUUGGGGAGAGCAGAUUGGCCACAAGGUUAAGAAGAUAUGUGAUUGCUACCACUGCCACGUGUACCCCUAUCCAAACACAGCCGAGGAGCGGAGGGAGAUCCAGGAGGGGCUGAACACCCGCAUCCAAGAUCUCUACACUGUACUGCACAAAACCGAGGACUAUUUGAGGCAAGUGCUAUGUAAAGCCGCCGAGUCUGUCUACAGCCGUGUGAUCCAGGUGAAGAAAAUGAAGGCCAUCUAUCACAUGCUGAACAUGUGCAGCUUUGACGUGACCAACAAGUGCCUCAUUGCUGAGGUCUGGUGUCCCGAGGCGGAUCUGCAGGACCUGCGCCGGGCACUGGAGGAGGGCUCGAGAGAGAGUGGUGCUACAAUCCCCUCAUUCAUGAAUAUAAUCCCCACAAAAGAAACACCCCCCACUCGGAUCCGCACCAACAAAUUCACCGAGGGUUUUCAGAACAUCGUGGAUGCUUAUGGAGUCGGAAGCUACAGAGAAGUCAAUCCAGCUCUCUUUACCAUCAUCACCUUCCCGUUUUUAUUUGCUGUGAUGUUUGGAGACUUCGGACAUGGCUUUGUGAUGUUUUUAUUUGCCCUCUUGUUGGUGUUAAAUGAAAAUCAUCCCAGACUAAAUCAGUCACAAGAGAUCAUGAGGAUGUUUUUUAAUGGCCGGUACAUCCUCCUGCUGAUGGGGCUGUUCUCAGUGUACACUGGCCUCAUCUACAACGACUGCUUUUCAAAGUCAGUCAACCUGUUCGGCUCCGGGUGGAACGUGUCGGCCAUGUACAGCUCCAGCCACCCACCCGCAGAGCAUAAGAAGAUGGUGCUUUGGAACGACAGCGUCGUCAGGCACAACAGCAUUUUGCAGCUGGAUCCAAGCAUUCCUGGAGUGUUCCGAGGCCCUUAUCCCCUUGGC
rnacentral:sRNA from 1 species